GAUCCAAUGGUGUAGCGGUUAUCACGUCAGUUUCACACACUGAAGGUCUCUGGUUCAAAUCCGGAUUGGAUCA